GUCUCCACGGUAUCAAGUGUGCGGCGCCCUAUCUGCCUGGAGUCUAAAUGCGGACCACCUUCUACAAGCCCUGGCUCAAGAGCAUCACUGGCGUGCAUUAGUUCAGCUAUUUGGAUGAUGUUGUCGUGAAAAUUCAAAGCUGUCAAAAUGAAAAUAGCUUUACUAUACUAUCUACCUAAAAAUUGUACACCGUUUGAGAAAUAUUAGUACGGAUCAUCACUGGACAGCUUUUAAAAACGUAAUUAUUUCUCAGUUACUGCCUUAUACGAGUAUUCAGCAGUGUUUAAAUUAAAUUAUACCAUGAUAGGGCCACUGGAAUAGGUAGUUUAUAGAAGCCGUAUCAAGCAUGUUAGGAAUAUGCCAUAUACUUGGCUAAAUAGAAUGAUGUUAAUUAGUAGAGCUAUUUGGAUGAUGUUGUCGUUUUUAAAAGACCGUUAAAAUACAGGGGUGUCAAUUAAAAUGUACCUCUUCCUCUCAACAGACUCAACCACCUACCCUUUUUAAAGAAAAAAAGAUUUUUAAUACGGUAUUUAAGGUAUUUGAACAUUCCAUAAAAAAAAUUGUCUUCUUAUUUUUAUCAAACUGUAAAAUUAGACUUCUUUGUAAAAAACUGUAAAUUUUAGUAUAUUGUAAAUGGAGUUGCUUAAAUUUUAUUUAUUUAUAAAUUAGUUUUAAGACUGAUAACUUGUUGAAUGUUGAUAUUUUGAAUGCAUUUAUUUACAUUAGAAGAUAAUUUUAUUUAAAAUAGAUCCUUAAGUACGUAUUUAAGUUAAAUUGUACAUUAUAAACGUAAUUGUUGCUCAAUUAAAAUUUGGACAUUGUACCUAAUUGUACAGUACCUACUUAGCUACAUAUUCUGGUGUGAAAACUUUUUUAUGCAAAAUCAGAAAUAUACAUUAGUAGGAUAACUAUUUGUAUGUUUUACAUUAAAUAAAAAACAUAAAUUUAUAAAGGCCGAUCGCUGGCAAACUAAAAUCGAAAGCUAUUAGUUAAACCGGUAUGAAAAUUUAAAAAUGUAUUUUAAAACAUUGAGUAUUUUGUAGGGUUUACCCUUUCAAAAUACUCAACCCAAUGUUAAUAAUUUAUGAAAAGAAGAGCCUUGUUAAGAUUUCAGCAAACACACUGUAAUUGUUAUGCAUUUAUUAAUUUUUAAGAAUAUACAAUUUAAAUUAA